GAUGAACGCUGGCGGCGUGCCUAAUACAUGCAAGUCGAGCGAACAGAUGAGGAGCUUGCUCCUCUGACGUUAGCGGCGGACGGGUGAGUACCACGUGGAUAACCUACCUAUAAGACUGGGAUAACUUCGGGAAACCGGAGCUAAUACCGGAUAAUAUAUUGAACCGCAUGGUUCAAUAGUUAAAGACGGUUUUGCUGUCACUUAUAGAUGGAUCCGCGCCGCAUUCGCUAGUUGGUAAGGUAACGGCUUACCAAGGCAACGAUGCGUAGCCGACCUGAGAGGGUGAUCGGCCACACUGGAACUGAGACACGGUCCAGACUCCUACGGGAGGCAGCAGUAGGGAAUCUUCCGCAAUGGGCGAAAGCCUGACGGAGCAACGCCGCGUGAGUGAUGAAGGUCUUCGGAUCGUAAAACUCUGUUAUUAGGGAAGAACAAAUGUGUAAGUAACUAUGCACGUCUUGACGGUACCUAAUCAGAAAGCCACGGCUAACUACGUG
rnacentral:rRNA from 1 species